AGCUCAGCUGGUAGAGCAGCGGACUUUUAAUCCGUUGGUCCCGCGUUCGAAUCGCGGA
rnacentral:tRNA from 1 species